rfam:Schistosoma mattheei strain Denwood, Zambia genome assembly, scaffold: SMTD_scaffold0005585
AUCCAUCUGACGAGUCCGAAAUGGGACGAAACACGUUCUGGAU